GGUUGCCAUGAAAGAAAUUCUGUAUGGCACAAAUGAAAAAGAGCCUCAGACAGAAGCAGUAGCUCAGCUUGCUCAAGAACUCUAUAAUAGUGGGCUCCUUAGCACCCUGGUAGCUGAUUUACAGCUCAUUGACUUUGAGGGCAAAAAAGACGUGGCUCAAAUUUUCAACAAUAUUCUCAGAAGACAAAUUGGUACGAGAACUCCUACUGUUGAAUACAUCUGCACCCAACAGAAUAUUUUGUUCAUGUUAUUGAAAGGGUAUGAAUCUCCAGAAAUAGCUCUAAAUUGUGGAAUAAUGUUAAGAGAAUGCAUCAGACAUGAACCACUUGCAAAAAUCAUUUUGUGGUCGGAACAGUUUUAUGAUUUCUUCAGAUAUGUCGAAAUGUCAACAUUUGACAUAGCUUCAGAUGCAUUCGCCACAUUCAAGGUAACAAAAACUAGAAUUCUAAAUAUGCUUGAAAGUCAGAGGUGUGCUGUUUUUCUAAACCUUCAUUGCCCUCCUAAAUCUACAUGUGGCUGCCCUCUAGUGGGAAGAGAAAGAUACAUUUUAUAUGUGUUUGUGUGAUAGAGGUAUAUGCAGUAAAGUCACAGCUUUAAAAGGGUGGAAAAGUUAGAUUCUAAAGUCUGUCUAAAAGGCAAAAGUCCUGUGUGG
rnacentral:sRNA from 1 species